rnacentral:tRNA from 1 species
GCUCCCAUAGCUCAAGGGAUAGAGCGCAGCGCUGCGGACGUUGAGGCUACAGGUUCAAGUCCUGUUGGGAGUA